rnacentral:rRNA from 1 species
GAUGAACGCUGGCGGCGUGCCUAAUACAUGCAAGUCGAGCGAACAGACCAGGAGCUUGCUCCUCUGUCGUUAGCGGCGGACGGGUGAGUAACGCGUGGAUAACCUACCUAUAAGACUGGGAUCACUUCGGGAAACCGGCGCUAAUACCGGAUAAUCUAUUGCAGCGCAUGGUUCGAUGGUGAAAGACGGUUUUGCUGUCACUUAUAGAUGGAUCCGCGCCGUAGUGGCUAGUUGGUAGGGUAACAGUUUACCAAGGCAACGCUGCGUAGCCGACCUGUGAGGGGGAUGGGCCACUGUGGAGCUGAGACACGGCCCUGACUCCUACGUGAGGCAGCGGUUGCGAAGCUUCCGCAAUGGGCGAAAGCCUGACGGAGCAACGCCGCGUGAAUGAUGAAGGUCUUCGGGUCGUAAAACGCUGUUAUUAGUGAAGAACAAAUGUGUAAGUAACUAUGCGCGUCUUGACGGUACCUAAACAGAAAGCCACGGCUAACUACUG